rnacentral:tRNA from 2 species
GGGCCUAUAGCUCAGUUGGUAGAGCCCCCGGCUCAUAACCGGGUGGUCAGAGGUUCGAAUCCUCUUGGGCCCAUCA